GACGAACGCUGGCGGCGUGCUUAACACAUGCAAGUCGAACGGAAAGGCCCUGCUUUUGUGGGGUGCUCGAGUGGCGAACGGGUGAGUAACACGUGAGUAACCUGCCCUUGACUUUGGGAUAACUUCAGGAAACUGGGGCUAAUACCGGAUAGGAGCUCCUGCUGCAUGGUGGGGGUUGGAAAGUUUCGGCGGUUGGGGAUGGACUCGCGGCUUAUCAGCUUGUUGGUGGGGUAGUGGCUUACCAAGGCUUUGACGGGUAGCCGGCCUGAGAGGGUGACCGGCGACAUUGGGACUAAGAGACGGCCCAGACUCCUACGGGAGGCAGCAGUGGGGAAUAUGGCACAAUGGGCGGAAGCCUGAUGCAGCGACGCCGCGGGCGGGAUGACGGCCUUCGGGUUGUAAACCGCUUUCGCCUGUGACGAAGCGUGAGUGACGGUAAUGGGUAAAGAAGCACCGGCUAACUACGUG
rnacentral:rRNA from 1 species